GACGUAGGGCGCGAGCGUUGUCCGGAUUUAUUGGGCGUAAAGAGCUCGUAGGCGGCUUGUUGCGUCAGCUGUGAAAAACCCGCAGCUCAACUGUGGGCUUGCAGCUGAUACGGGCAGGCUUGAGUUCGGUAGGGGAGACUGGAAUUCCUGGUGUAGCGGUGAAAUGCGCAGAUAUCAGGAGGAACACCGGUGGCGAAGGCGGCCAGCUGGGCCGUCCCUGACGCUGAGGCGCGAAGGCGUGGGGAGCGAACGGG
rnacentral:rRNA from 1 species